ACAAAUGGAUCCUGGGCAGAUGGCCAGCAGCGCCUGCAUGCCUUGGGUCUCCCAUCCUAGGAGAAGGCUCAUGGCCUCCUGCUACCCUCUCUGGGUAUCUUUCCUCAAGAGAUACUCUUAGUCCCUUCUCAGCAAACAGGAACUUUCUACAAGCCAGCCACCACCACACGUGCUGUACUGGAGAUGCAGGCAAAAUGGCUGCUUACAGACAGCCGGCGCCGAGGACUGCCUUGCAAGAGUAGGGAGCUGGAGCUCCCCUCCUUGUUGGAGUGGCUCCAGCGGGCCUCCUCCAGGCUUGGCGCCAGCUCUACAGCGCAUGAAGAGGCUGUGCUGAAGCACACCGUGCAGUCUGCACUAGGACAUGGCUGGCUUGUGGAGGCUCCUGGAAGGCAUCCGCGCCAUGGCCAAAGUAUCCGUAGGAACAGACAUCACUGGUUAGGUCCUGCCUGACUGAGUGCAGGACCGAGUACCCGUUCUUGGUUCUGGAGCCUGGGCUCUCCGGGUCUGGGGCGGCGAGCUGAGAGGGCAAGGGCGUGGGUGGCAUGCACAGCACCAAAGGAAGUUCUGUGCCUGCCAGUGCCCGGCUCUCUGCCAAUUCGGAGGAAGCUGCCUAGCUUACUGGACCCACCUUCUGCCUCCUGCGCCUCCUCCUCUAGGGUGCCCUCUGCACCGGGAAGUGGGCUUGAGGCCGUGAAGUCCACGGUGUAAAGUCCUGUUUGAGGCUGAGAAUGUCAACAACUUUGAUUAUUUUGGCUGCAAUUAGAAACUUAUAUGUGUGCUUUGUGUGGUCAGAAGACAGCUGAGCAGGAGAUGGUUCCCUUCUACCAUGCAGAUGGGAACUGAACUUAGCCAUCAGCCUUGGUGAAACAUCCUCACAGACAUCCAGCGAUAUUAUUUAACAAGAUAUCUUAGGGGCAUGGUGGCUUACACUGACCCACUAAAAUGGUCCAUCACACCCAGGAAUAAGGACGGUGAGUCUAAUCUAUGAACAUCAGGGAGAUCAAGAAGUGAAUUGAUCAUCUUGAAGUCAUGUAAUGAACAGUGAACGAAGGGACAAAGGAGAAGACACAGGUCUACUGAGAUCUUAACAAGGGAGGGUCUGAGGCAAAGAGGCCAGAGGACAUUUCUGGAAGUUUGUAUGCUUUAUCUUGAUAGUUUUGGUUACAAAUACUGACUUGUCUGGUUUGAGAAAAUUUGGAGGGAGCCAUGCUAGAGGUAGAAUGGGAACUGUGAGUUGCCAAAGCCUCCACGACCCAGGGUGGGCUUCUUUGAGGACCUCAGCUGAAGGGAUUUGCUCAUCCUCUGUCUCAAUAUGCACCCAAUUCUUUCAGGGCCCAGUGGGUUUCUUCCCUGUGGGCUAUUCUUACUUUAUAGGUCCCAAUUCCCAUAGUCUAGACUGUCUUUCUCAGGAAUGCCCUUUCUCCUAGGAUGGAAAACAGAAACUUCAGCCAUCAGUCUCCGGUCAGAUGGCCACAUUUAGGCAUUUUGGUUCUAUAAGCCACCUUCAAAUUAGGUUUCUAUUUACUGAAAAAAUAAAAAAGGAAAAAAAAAAUGAAGAAAAUCAAAUAGUAAAACCCAUACAGCUAUGCUUAGGAAGGAAAACCUCUUGUGAGGUCUAGCUUUGUAUGUAGAGUUGUUGGCAUCUUGUAAUGGUUUAUAACCCUCUUUGUCACAGUAUACCCUGAGGGUUGAAGCCUUCCCCAAAUCCUACCUAUCCCACAAGGUCGAGUUCAUUCCCCUCCCCUAAUUUCUUGUUUACUUUAGUCCCAAGUUCUCCCAUCUUCUAAACUCUUUUUGUCAUUUACUUUGGAUAGAGAAUAUAAGGAUGGCGUACAGUUGGAGUGUGUAAUAUAAGCACGUUGCUGACGUGUACAGUGCCCUUUCCCCUGGAUGGAUUGCAGAUGAAUGUUCACGGGGUUAUGUUGAUGUUUGUUUCUCUCUAACUGUGCACAAACCUACUAUCAUUAAAUAGUACCAAAAAAAAAAAAAAAAGCUAGAUCAUAGGUCUUGCGAUUCUAGACUCCUAGUGUAUGGAAAGUUCUAAUAAGAAUGGAGAGAUGUGGACUGGAGAGAUGGCUCAGCCGUUAAAGGCUAGGCUCACAACCAUAAAAUAUAAGAAUGGAGAGAUGCCUUUGCAUUGAUUUAAAAAGAGAACAAGUAAGGAUUGCUUUGAAAAAAAAGUUUUA